GGAUGUGAGGGCGCUCUGGCUGUCACAUCUGUCACCCCAUUGAUCACCAGGGUUGAUUCAGAUGAUCUAGCUAGCAGGGUGUCCCCUUCCUCCCUCAAUGCUCUAUGUGCAUCCCUCCCCAAGCUGUGCACAAAGAGGAUGCCCACCCCCAUAGAGGAAGACCGCUCCUCAGUCAGAAGGACACCCUUGACCUCAGCAGCUGCGCUCCCCUACUAGAACCUCCCAACAAGCUCUCAAAAAUUCUUUAAAUUUUUUGAUUCCUUAAAAAAUAAUUUUAAA
rnacentral:snRNA from 1 species